GUACAAGUUGCACGCAAUUAAUAAUAUUUCCUUCCUUUCUGUCUUACAGGAUUGUUUGCAGAUAAUGCUGUUCUUCUUUUUCAGGUCUACAAUAUCGAGCUCAACAGCUCUUUUAAGAGCCAACCCUCACAAACCUUCCUAAAAACUAAAAGAGCUAUUACUGAGUCUCAGCGAAUCUUGCCAUGAUCAGCUCUUCCCAGAAGAGAAGGAAGACCAAGGAAAUUAUUUGAUCAGGAUGAGGAAUGAAGACGGCCAUCUUGUGCUCAAACAAACAGACGUCCUCUGAUGGUCUCAUCAGCCAAAUGAGGGGUUUUGACCAAGUGAUGCUCUUGAAAGGAGUGAAAAAAGAGGAUGUGGUAAAUUGUCUUCAAAGAAAAAGCUUCUCAAAAGUUCGUAAAACAGCUUGAAGAAUGGUCUGGGAUCUUAGGACUGAGAGAUCCUCUGGCUGAGAAAAACCUACACAACAUCAGUGCUGGAUAUCAACCACGAACUGUUUCCAGACACGAGAGAAUAAUAUCACGAUCAGGAGAUGAAACCAGUUUAGAUGUGAUGAUAAGGAAUCAUUAUUUUCUGAAACAGUAUCACAUGUCUUAUAUGUAUCACAUGAUCUGUAUCACAGUUGACUGGAUGGGACUGUGACUUUUAAGGACAUUUCAUCACUCAUAUGUGUGAACUGAUUAAUAUAUGAGGUUAAUGUAUUUUUGAUGAUAAUUAUUUUCCUUGAAUCUUAUUUGUCUUGAUGCUACUUUAUCAACUGUAUAGUCUAUGCUUCAAUAAAAUGAAAAUGGUAAAUAUUGUGUUCUGAAGAUUCUUGGUAAAUACAUAGUUUUACUAGGUAGGCUCAUAUGUGUUUAUUUUAGACUUGGAAAAACUACAUAUUAAUUAUUGGGCAUAUUUUUUACUUAAGUCAUAAACAUUUUUGAUCGGAUUAAUAACAUCUGGGACAUCAGUACACCAGAAAGUUAUUUUUUAUAUUUUAGUAACAAAUAUGCACAUUUUUUUGUGAAAUAAAGGGAGUUACGAGAUUAAUUAUUUUGCAUUA